rnacentral:rRNA from 1 species
UCAGGAUGAACGCUAGCUACAGGCUUAACACAUGCAAGUCGAGGGGAAACGAUAGAGAAAGCUUGCUUUUUCUAGGCGUCGACCGGCGCACGGGUGAGUAACGCGUAUCCAACCUGCCCAUCACUUGGGGAUAACCUUGCGAAAGUAAGACUAAUACCCAAUGAUAUCUCUAGAAGACAUCUGAAAGAGAUUAAAGAUUUAUCGGUGAUGGAUGGGGAUGCGUCUGAUUAGCUUGUUGGCGGGGUAACGGCCCACCAAGGCGACGAUCAGUAGGGGUUCUGAGAGGAAGGUCCCCCACAUUGGAACUGAGACACGGUCCAAACUCCUACGGGAGGCAGCAGUGAGGAAUACUGGUCAAUGGACGAGAGUCUGAACCAGCCAAGUAGCGUGCAGGAUGACGGCCCUAUGGGUUGUAAACUGCUUUUAUAAGGGAAUAAAGUGAGUCUCGUGAGACUUUUUGCAUGUACCUUAUGAAUAAGGACCGGCUAAUUCCGUGCCAGCAGCCGCGGUAAUACGGAAGGUCCGGGCGUUAUCCGGAUUUAUUGGGUUUAAAGGGAGCGUAGGCCGGAGAUUAAGCGUGUUGUGAAAUGUAGACGCUCAACGUCUGCACUGCAGCGCGAACUGGUUUCCUUGAGUACGCACAAAGUGGGCGGAAUUCGUGGUGUAGCGGUGAAAUGCUUAGAUAUCACGAAGAACUCCGAUUGCGAAGGCAGCUCACUGGAGCGCAACUGACGCUGAAGCUCGAAAGUGCGGGUAUCGAACAGGAUUAGAUACCCUGGUAGUCCGCACGGUAAACGAUGGAUGCCCGCUGUUGGUCUGAAUAGGUCAGCGGCCAAGCGAAAGCAUUAAGCAUCCCACCUGGGGAGUACGCCGGCAACGGUGAAACUCAAAGGAAUUGACG